rnacentral:rRNA from 1 species
GACGAACGCUGGCGGCGUGCUUAACACAUGCAAGUCGAACGGAAAGGCCCUGCUUGCAGGGUACUCGAGUGGCGAACGGGUGAGUAACACGUGGGUGAUCUGCCCUGCACUUCGGGAUAAGCCUGGGAAACUGGGUCUAAUACCGGAUAGGAGACAUUUUUAGUGUGAUGGUUGGAAAGUUUUUUUCGGUGUAGGAUGAGCUCGCGGCCUAUCAGCUUGUUGGUGGGGUAAUGGCCUACCAAGGCGGCGACGGGUAGCCGGCCUGAGAGGGUGGACGGCCACAUUGGGACUUAGAUACGGCCCAGACUCCUACGGGAGGCAGCAGUGGGGAAUAUUGCACAAUGGGCGCAAGCCUGAUGCAGCGACGCCGCGUGGGGGAUGACGGCCUUCGGGUUGUAAACUCCUUUCGCUAGGGACGAAGCUUUUUGUGACGGUACCUAGAUAAGAAGCACCGGCUAACUACGUG